AGCAGCCCGGCGGCAGAGAGGGGGCCGGAACCCGGCUCUCCUGACUCCCGGUUCCACCCUUCCCUCUUUGAAGCGGGUUUGCU